AAUAUAUUACCUUCGUCUCAAGUUACUUGUCUUAGAUUUUUCUUGAUACGGAUGUAUCUCACACUAAAACAUGUCUUGAUACAUUCAUAUCUAGAAAAAUCCAAGACAAGUAACUUGAGACGAAGGAAUUUGUAU
rfam:Triticum aestivum genome assembly, contig: Triticum_aestivum_CS42_TGACv1_scaffold_049441_1BS